rnacentral:lncRNA from 1 species
CCUAGGUCUGUUUGGACCCUUUUAUGGUAAUAAAGAUUUAGAUCACCUCUUAGGAAAUCUACUGGGUUAAGGGAAUUUUCAGGGGUUAAUGUUAAAUCCUCUUUUUUUUUUUUUUUCUUAGGAUACUUCUGAACUGGUGAGGUGUGCUCACAAUAAGGUUUCCUCUGAAAAACUUAAAACCUCUUCAACUCACACCUGACCUAAAACCUACGUGACUUAUUUUCUUCUGCA